GAUACGGUGCGACUAUCCGGCGUGAUUUGUCAAUCCCGCGAAGGAAGGAACAAAAACAAACAAUAUGAAAUCAAAGAAGAAAGAAAAAGAAAAAGCGACUGUUAAAGUAGAGGAGAAUGUUGAAGCGGAUUUGGAAAAAUUUAUUCAAGCAUUUGAAAAACCAACAAGAAUAUACAGAUAUCUGCGAACAAGACAUCUUGUUUCGCCAAUUUUUCUCCAGAGGAACUUAACCUAUAUGAAACACAGAAGGUCUGUGAACAACUUGAAGAGGAGAUCAUUUAAAGUUGACAGUUUACUGACCAACAAGAAAGAUAUAAAAGAAGAACCAGGCAUUAACAGUUCUGUUGUGAAGUACCUGAAGUUGGAGUUAACCGGCGUUUAUAACAGCCAGUUUUCUCCAGAUGUACAUGAGGCAGCUAUAGAUAUCACACUGAAUAAAGUACAGCAUGGUCGUAAGUUUUAUAAACAGGGAGAUAGUCAGCAAGGGUUUAAGCAGAUCAUUGUUGGGAAAGCAAAAGUACCAGUCAAUCCAAAUUGGAAUAACUCUAGUCUAGAUGGUACCCAGUCUGACAGUGAAAAUUACAGUCCAUGUCAGGAAACAGUCAUAUGUAAGGAUGGAUUCAGCUUCAAGCCAAAAGAUGGAUUCCACAGUUGUAUUUUAAACUUGAAUGUUACCUGUCUUCUCAAACCUAGUCUUUCAAAUGGAGUCACAAAUGGAGAUGUUUCAGAGCAUGAUGAGCCACAACCAAAGAAGAGACGCAGUGUAUUAAAUGGGCGAAGCAUUAGUGUGGAGGAAGAGUCAGUUACAUACAGUGCAGAGCUUACUCUAUAUGGUAAACAAUACCAAGGAGUACUUAAAUCAGGAAUGUAUGAUCUCGUGCUGCAAGACUCGGCAUCAAAAUUCUCAACAAGAGAUAGUAGAUGGGACAGUUCUGUUGGAAAACGGUCCAUAGAUCUUCUUGAUGAGUUUGGUUCCAGUCCUACUUUGAAGUUAUAUUUGUGUUGGACAGAUGAUCCUGAGGGGAACCAGCAGUGUAAAAUUCCACCUUGUGAGUUUGUGAAAAAUAAUCAGAUAACAAAAUACAGCAAUUUCUCAGGGUAUGACUCAGAAACAUCACCUCAAAAGAUAAAGGAAGAAGCUCAGUCAACGCCCCAGAAAAAGAUGCAAGUGACAUAUAUGUUCUUGUAUAAUGACAUCACACGUCAGCAGACAGACACCCGGGACAAUAUGAGGUGUCCAUGGUGUACAGUGAACUGUGAAAAAUUAUACAGUCUCUUAAAGCAUCUACGACUGUGUCAUGCUAGAUUUAAUAUAUUAUAUGUGCCUAUGCCGAAGGGAGCUCGUGUAGAUGUAACUAUAAAUGACUGUUAUGAUGGGGCAUAUGGAGGUAAUCCUCAGGAUCUGAACUCGCAUAUCGGCUUUGCAUUUCACAGAUUGGGACCAGUGAGGCGUACAUCUAUCACUCAUGUCAUGGUCUACAGACCUAAGAGACAGCCACAUUCAUUGUUAGAAUUUUGUGAGCCAGAAAAGGAAAAUCAGGUUUCUAAACAAAUUAUUCAGGGACAUAAUAGAUUGUAUUACCGGACCAACACCUGCUUACCUCUACAACCACAGGAGGUUAAUCAAGACAGUGAGGAUGAAGUUACACCUAAUUGGCUGUGCCAAAAAUCAGUCAAUUUGAUAGAUGAGUUUACAGAUGUAAAUGAAGGGGAGAAAGAACUCAUGAAAAUGUGGAAUCUGCAUUGUAUGAAAUACGCAAAUGUUUAUGGUAGAUAAAAAUCUAAAAGGUUGGUUUCCAUCUAAAGGAAAGGCAAAGGCAAUCAAAAACAGAGAUGCCUGUUUGCAAAUACAUUGCUGACUGUCAGAUGCCACAAGCUUCACAGAGUUUUGUUGAGGAACAUGGUUGCGAGUUGAUAGAAAAAGGAAUCGUGAAAAACUACCUGAUACAUCUUGUGAAUAUGUUUGACUUUGGUCUAGUAACCCCG
rnacentral:misc_RNA from 1 species